UACAGAGGGUGCGAGCGUUAAUCGGAAUUACUGGGCGUAAAGCGCGCGCAGGCGGUUCUCCAAGUCAGUGGUGAAAGCCCGGAGCUCAACUCCGGAACUGCCAUUGAAACUGUUUAGCUUGAGGAUGAGAGAGGUGAGUGGAAUUCCCAGUGUAGAGGUGAAAUUCGUAGAUAUUGGGAAGAACACCGGUGGCGAAGGCGGCUCACUGGCCCGGUACUGACGCUGAGGUGCGAAAGCGUGGGGAGCAAACAGG
rnacentral:rRNA from 1 species